ACGGGAGGCAGCAGUAGGGAAUCUUCCGCAAUGGGCGAAAGUCUGACGGAGCAACGCCGCGUGAGCGAAGAAGGUCUUCGGAUCGUAAAGCUCUGUUGUUAGGGAAGAACAAGUAUCGGAGGAAAUGCCGGUACCUUGACGGUACCUGACGAGAAAGCCACGGCUAACUACGUGCCAGCAGCCGCGGUAAU
rnacentral:rRNA from 1 species